rnacentral:rRNA from 1 species
AACGAACGCUGGCGGCAGGCCUAACACAUGCAAGUCGAGCGAGCAUUUCGGUGCUAGCGGCGGACGGGUGAGUAACGCGUGGGAACGUGCCCUUUUCUGCGGAAUAGUCCUGGGAAACUGGGGGUAAUACCGCAUACGCCCUUUUGGGGAAAGAUUUAUCGGAGAAGGAUCGGCCCGCGUUGGAUUAGGUAGUUGGUGGGGUAAUGGCCCACCAAGCCGACGAUCCAUAGCUGGUUUGAGAGGAUGAUCAGCCACACUGGGACUGAGACACGGCCCAGACUCCUACGGGAGGCAGCAGUGGGGAAUCUUAGACAAUGGGGGCAACCCUGAUCUAGCCAUGCCGCGUGAGUGAUGAAGGCCGUAGGGUUGUAAAGCUCUUUCAGCUGGGAAGAUAAUGACGGUACCAGCAGAAGAAGCCCCGGCUAACUCC